rnacentral:sRNA from 1 species
AUUUGAUGAUGCCUUGAUGACGGCAUCAAGAUUGCGAAGCAUUCAAAGUCACAAGCCACAAUUUAGGUUGGCUAAUAUUACAGUGCCUACGUACAUGGCCUUACAAGUGCUCAUCUCGCCAGACGACCAAUGCCCCCUUCUCCUCUAUGAACUCUAUCUCAUAACGAAUCCUGGGCCACCCCUCAAGAUCCUACAUACACACCUCCAGAACAACUCUUCGGCCACAUCCAACUCCCCCUCUUGCACGUACAGCCAAUGCCUCAUUCUAAAGACAUCGCCUUCCUUCGUCCCUUCCUUAUCUUUCACUCUCUUCACUAUCGUUUCCACCGCAUCUUUCGCAUGAGUUUUAGUGUCGACGUCGAUCGUUUGACUUGUAACAGCACGAUGCCACCAGAUUCUCAACAACAAAAUUACCGCGCGCUUACCUGCCUCAUCUGCUCGCCACGAAUUGGUACGUUUAUCUGCCAAAUGGACAGCUUCUGUACCCUCAUUAAGGAAUGACAACCCGACUUCACGGGCGGCCCAAAUGCUGCAAACUUCUGCUGAAACCAGCAAAGCUUCUCUCUUCUCGGCGGCAAGGAAGAAACGAGGAGCGAGAGAAGCCAUAAACAUAGCAGAGUAGGCAAUAGCGACAAGAGUUUCAUUCUUGGCCGGGGCAAGUUGGGCGGCAGCAAUAUCCACGCCGACUUCACAAGGUCUGAUGAACGAACAGCCUGCGACUCAUCGUCAGUCGAGAUGGACAUGACGGAAGGUUUUCUUUCCAUGCACCGAUACCAUUUGGCAAAGUGAGAGAACCAGUCGAGGAUAUCCUUCGAGCGCGGUGCAAAGCUGGCGGACCCUCGUGGCUGCCGUCAUGGGAUGCAACGGACUGACUGCGAGGAGAAGCGAAUGACGACCUGCGGCGGGCACGAAAGGCAGCUAUAUCUGUAGGUAAAGGAAGCCAGGAGCUUCGUCGGUCUGGAGUAGGGGUGGAUGUUGCAGAUGACCUGUAGCGUGGGUGAAUUGCGAAAGAGGAGAGUUCGGCAUCUUCGCUGACCGCGGUGAGAGGGUUCGAUCCCUUACGAUGAGCAGCAUCAAUGCCGCCGGAACCGUUUGAUGAAGAGUUGGAUUCCCGGCGACUAGAAGAGGUUUGAUUUUGAGAAAUCGAGUCAUGUUUGACAGGGAUAGGAUGUGGCUUGAUAUCACCCUCAUCUUCCUCUUUGAUUGUCUGGUCCACAUUUUCUCUCGUAUCAUGAUUUCUCAAAGGUGUUCCAAACGAGCCCAGACUCUCGGAUGCGCGUUCCUUUUAGGCUUCCUCUUCCUCCAGACCCAUCGCAGCAUAAUGGCGUAGAUCGUCUUGGCAUCGCCAAGCUUGCUUGAUUGACUCCCAAGCCGAGGUGGACACAACAGCACCCUUGUGACCCUUGAGCUUCGCUGCCCAAUGCCGGCACUCGUCUGACAACAGCGCCAUAUCCUGUAAGAGUGCCCUAAAGUCAUCCUCAUCAAGCUCCACACCUAGGGCGAAAGUGCGCCUCAAUCUCUCAAGCGAUGGUUCGCCCGAUGCAAGCUGAACACGAGCGACAAGGUUGGCGAUAGUUUUGGAGAUUUGACACGCUCUGUAGCAACCAGUGUCGACAUAUUUGACGCCUGGUCAAGAGCCUGCUCGGAAAGCUCGACGGUACAGGUCGACAGCAUUGAGAUCUGGGGCGAGGGUGGAGAGCGUGAUGGCAGCAGUUGAGAGAGAGAGGAAAAGGUCAACCAUCUCUGGACUUUGCUCCGCCGCUUAUUGGUUCCUCAUCACUCUGAUCCUAUCCAUUCGCUCAGCCGCAACUUCCUCCCAAUGCUGUAAAGCUUCUCUUGCAAGCUCCCCAAUCUCCCCAUUCCACACAGCAUUCUCGUCCUCGAUAUAGUCCUCAACCUCAUGUAGCGUGCUUGAGAGAAGGGAACAUGCUUGAGCUAGCGUCUCACGAGCGGUUAGCGAUUGCGGGGCGAGGUGUGUGAGGGAGCGGAGGGCGUUGACAGCUUCACGCAGAGAAGCGGUAGCGAUGUGAGGGGGCUGUUAUUUGACUGCGAGCUGAAUGAAGACACGAGAACGGCCGAGCAUAGCCUUGUCAUUCGAACGGAAAGUGAGGGCAAUUAUGAAUAACUCGUUACUGCGGUUGAGAUGAUGAUACGCCUUUUUCGUGCCGGUUUUGUAAGUGGACGCCUUGAUGUCAUGAUCCAUUGCACCUACACGUUUCACAUAAGCUACAACCUUAAAUAAGUGGUCUACGAAGACUCACCUUCCAUACAAGAUUCGUACGUGUUAUAGUCUUUCCCUUUUCUAGAGUUCGCAUGCACAGGCACAGGGCCG